UAUUCCAGAUUUAAAUAAAUUUUUGCUUUUAGAAUAUAAGUAAUAAUAUAAAUUAUAUAUAUAUAUACUCCCGAAGAAUAGAUCGUGGAAUUUAUACAAAAUUUAUUAAAUAAUUUUCCAAAGCUAUAUUAUGCAUACGAUAAAUAAUUUUUUUGGAUAUACCUCUUUGGCUGAUUUUUCGACAAAGAGUAGGCUCCAAAUGACUUAGAUGUUCCAAGCGUGGUUGAAAACUGCAGUUCACGGUUCCAAGACUGUACGGAUCGAAUGGAUCGCCGCACCUUGGAUCGUAUUCGCUGUUGCA